AUUACCAUGCGAAAACCCCAAAUCUACCUACCCGACCCGGAACUAAUUAAAUCAUGGCUGUUGAUCUGAGAGAUCAACGACCCAUAUUAAUUUUUGCUUUUUCUACUCUAAACGACCCCUAACCCUAAAUCAUUCUCCCAAACCCGUCGCCUCUGUAUUCUCUCAUCUCCUCUCCUCUCCUAAAGCUCAAACCCUAGCCUUUCAACCACUGACCUCUCUUCUCCGAUCUUCUCCAGUGAUCUCUCAUCGACUCCUAGGCCUCUAAUGGCUUCUCUAAUGUCAUGCUUGCAUUCUCUAAGGUCUUCAAGGGCCCAGGGCCAUCCGACUUACAUUUAGGCUUCGUCACUUGUCUGUAUUUGGCUACUCCGGUGUGAUUUCGAG
rnacentral:lncRNA from 1 species